CAUAAACUUUCGAUUCAUUUGGAUAAACACCAGGGAACACAAUUGCAAGAUCAUGUGGGCUGGAAGACAGAGAUCCACCAGGCUCUCAAUUGAAAGCCCUGGAGGGCUACACCCUAAGAACAGAAGUGAAUCGGAGGUACACUUAGCAAAACUGAAACCAGCUUCUGAUUCAGAAUAAUCUCUGACUCGAUUGAGGUGAUCAAAGGCUAUUCUACCUGCCCAACAGAAGAAAAAGGGAACACUUUCGGUGGAAGGCAAUAUCAUCUGGACCCUUUAUGGUUUUAUUAUACAUAAUGUCUAACAUUUUUUAAAUUACUAGAUGUGGAAGAUCAAGUUCAUUUGCCCAAUAAUCAAGAGAAAAAAACACACACAAUAGAAACACAAUUAUAGAUGAUCAAGAUAUUGUAAUCAGCAAAUGAGAAUUUACAAAUAAUUUUUAUGAAUAUGUUUAAGAAAAUAAAGUGCAAAAUUGAUGAGGAAAUGGACAAUUUUCAGUAAAACUAACCUAUAAAAAAGAUUUCUUUAGGCAUUCUAAAUUUGAAAAAAUAUACUAUCGUCAGUUAAGAAAUCAAUAUAUGGAGAAAACUGCAGUGGAAAGGAUCAGUAGAGAUAGCAGUGUGUCCAACAGCCAAGAAAGUAGGGUGGCGGGCAUACAGAUAGUGAUGUGCAUAGGGGCAAAAGAAGUCAUAAUGGGAAAGCCAUGUGGAGGCAGCAGAGUGCCUGGUGUCCAAGGAAGCAUGUAUAGGGGGUACAUAUGGUGGCAGUUGUAUGCUCAGCAGAAGAAGCACCAGGGAGGUGAAGGUCACGUUGACAGCAUGAACCUUCGAUGUGAUGUGAGGAAAAUGGCAUUCUACCUCUGUGUUCUUCCUCCCCAAAAUUUGUAACCACCAUCUAAUCAUGAGGAAAACAUCAUACAAGUCCAAAUUGAGGAAGAUUCUACAAAAUGCCUGAUUAAUAUUCAUCGAAACUGUCAAGGUCAUCAAAAGCAAGGAAAGUCUGAGAAACUGCCACAGCCUAAAGACAAUCCAGGGAAACGUGAUGACUCAGUGGUAUUCGGGGUGGGUUUCUGGAACAGCAAAAGGACAACAGGCACUGGACUUCAUUACUUCCUUACUGCAACCUGGCGCUUAAAGUGCUAUCAUCACAAGGAUGAAGAAACAGUUCAGAAAGGCUGAUUGAGAUGGCUAUGGUCAUGCCUUAUACCACUGGCAGGU
rnacentral:lncRNA from 1 species